GAAUUUGAAGCCCAUGUUGUUGCCAGAUUUAUAAUCUCUCAACACAUCAAUAGCUCCAAAGCUGGUUAUUAGAAUUGUACUCAAUGCCAUCACAAUACCAACUGAGAAGACAAUUAUAGAAGCCCUGCCAUAUUCUUGUAUGGUUCUUUGUACUACCAGCAAUCCAAGGAGUGAAGCAACGAAACAUAUAGCUGCGAAGAUAAGGGCGGUGUCUGUGUGCUCCAUUCCGAAUAAUAGGUACUGAA
rnacentral:misc_RNA from 1 species